AUCAUUAUCACGAGUGUGAUGAUUGUUCCAUGUCACAUUAGUUUUUUGUGUUAGGAGAAAUGACGAACAGGCGGUGAGGACAGAAUCAGUGCAUUGCCUGAUGAUAUUCUUCUUAUCAUAUUGUCUGGCUUGCCUGUAAUGGAUGCUCUAAAACCAGCCUCAAAUGAAAAAAAAAAAAAAAAAAAACUUAAGAAGACAUUUGUCUAGAGGACAUUGUAUCUAACUGUCAAGACCCACCUCGAAUUUCACCUUGAAACCCGAAGUAAAUCCUGCGGGGUCCACCUCUAAGGAAAAUUUAUCGAAAAUUCGGCAUAAUCUACCUUGAAAAUAGACAACUCUUACCUGGAAAAUAAAUUCCAGAUAGACACUUCUAUUACAAAUCAUCCAUCCUUAACUCCUGGAGCCUUCCUCCUCCCCAAGUUCAUAACAUCUCCCAAAAUACAUCAAGCCUUGAUCAACUAAUAACAAUCUCAAAUGGUUAUCAGAGCAUAUCUAUAAUGAAAGAAAAACAAUGAAUAAAGAAUAAGCGGAAGUAGCCUCUGACUAUGCCUCGACUCCAUGUACGCUCGACCUCAAUAAACUUAGCCUGCAAACUAAGAAAAUAAAACCAAAGAGCCCAGGGGAAAGUAAUUUAAAAACGUUAGAGUGAGUAGACAAAAAUAAUUUAAAUAAUUUAACAAAUACGUAAUUUAAAUACUUUCCCACGUUUCAACUUUAAAAACUUAGCUGCACGCAACUUUGAACAUCCUUAAAACUUUAAAUCCAGAAUCACGUAAAAAUGGACAAACCAGCCCCGCUGGUUAAUCAAUUACAUAAAUGAGAAAAAUAAACUAAGGGGAAGAGGUAUCACCAUAUAAGAGGAGUCUCCAAGGCUCGGGUCGGUGCCUCCAGACUAUAGUAGCAUCUCACGCUAAGCGCUCGACUCACCUAUGGUGAGGACCGCUAAUAAGGCUAGCUAGCAAUAAAUAAUAAUAUUCGAUCGGUGCCUCUCAGGCUAUAGUAGUGUCCUACGCUAAGCACUCGACUCACCUAUGGUGAGGACCGCUAAUAAAGCUAGCUAGUAAUGAAUAAAAGCGACCCUAUAAUAUGGUGACUAAAAAUAUACGAAAUCACUUAAAUCCAUAAAGCUUCCCUAAGAUCAUGCAAAUGGUACGGUUCCCAACCGUACUUGAAAAUUAUCAUAAGAAAUUAUAAUAAAACUCAAUGACGUGUCUCACACGUCAAAAUAUUCUCAAAUCCAUAAUUAAAGCGAGAUAUAAUUAUCAAGUAUAAAUUAUAAAUAAUUUCUCAAUCUGAAAAUACUCGCUAAAAAUAUUCUCAAUGUCAAGAUCGAUAAUCCACAAUUAAAUGAGAAAGUUAUAAAAAGAGAAUUACCGAAAAUCUCAUUUUCAGUAGUCUUUAAUAAAUCUCAAAGUCAACAAUAAAGCCGAUAAUAAUUAAAUCCGGAAAUCAUGAAUGAUAUCCAAACUCAAAUACCAAAUUAAUUAUCUGAGCUCAAAUCCAUAAAUUAUGGUCAACAAUUAAUCCAUGCAUCAAACUCAAAAUAAUUUCCAAGAUCAUUUCAUAAGCUGAAGUUAUAAUAUAUGCUCUAAAAGUAAAAUGAUAAAUUAUAAAAUCUUGCAUGCAUAUUUAUAAAAAACCAAAGUGUCCACUCACAAAUUUAGGCAUAAGCCCGACGAAAUCCGAAUCGUCACUCAAGUGAUGUCCCCUCGUAUCCUGGCACAAUAAAUAUGUUUAGAACCACUCUUCAAUUUAGGAAAAAAAUAAAUGUUUUAACUUAAGCACCGAAAUCCUUCCACUUAACCAACUAAUCAAGCUAGGGUUAAGCUAAUUAGAUUUUCACCAAACAUCAACUACAACCUCACUUCAUCGAUUCUAGCACUUUAGGACCAUAACUGUCACGCCCUAAUUUUCAAAAAUUUUCGAAGGAUAAAUUUCAAAAAUUUGGGCAUGAUAUAACUCUCAAAAUAUAAUUCCCAAGACCUGUUCAACAAACUUAAAGAAGACUAAACUCAAAUGCAGAAAUGUAAUGUCAACACAACUCAACAUCGAGUUAAAUAUUACAUUUCCUUGUUUACAUAAACUUGAAAGUUAACAAAUGAAAACACUCGAAUGAGUUUAAUGCUGUCUACCAAAUAUAAUAAUAUCAAGUGUACAACAACUAAAACCCUGUCACUAUUCCUCCGCCUCAACCAUGCUGAUCAACACCUGCAGGUCUAACCCUACACCAUGAAUUAGUCACCGGGUUGUAAACAACAAACCAGGUAAGCUAAAAAGCCCGUAUAAGUAACUCUAAAAAAUAACUCAACCCAACAUUACAUAAGAUAAAACCGGUAAUUUCUGCUUUAGAACUUAGUUUAGGAAUCACCUCAAAACAAUAAAAUUCAAAAGAGAAUAAAUAAGAAAACACAACAAUUCACAAAACAAUCAAAAUCAUAAGUGAAUCCUGCAAAAAUGAUAGCUCAGGAAUUCCACUAAAAAUCACACAAAUAAUAUUAAAGAAUCUCCUGCAUUAAGCAUAGUUCAUGAGAUACUCAAAACAAGGAAUUUAAAAACAACAACAAUAAAAAAUGUUAAAACCACAUACCAAUACUUUACAAAUAUACAUGUAUCCAUGAGUCCCAGAUACCAAUAAGGUAUCUCUCAUGACCUACAACAAACAUAUGUACCCAUGAGUCCCAGAUAUUAAUAAAUACCUCUCAUGAUUUACAACAACAAUUUAUGUACCCAUGGGUCCUAGAUACCUUAAGGUACCUCCUAUGACCUACACCGACAGACGGACUAGAGCUCUAUUCCUAACCGUAACCAAUCACCCAGUUUGACUGUCUAAUAUCACAUCAAAAAAUAAUAAUAACAUCAUAACCGUAACCAAUCACCCACUACUAGGACAAGCACUUUAGCCGACGAAAAUUUUUCGUCGGCCUGUCAGCUUAAUUCGUCGGCUAAGAUCUUAGCCGACGACCUUUCGUCGGCUAAUAUUUCGUCGGGAAAAGCUCGUCUGUGGUGACUUUAGCCGACGACACAUGUAUAAGUCGUCGGCUAUAGUCCAGACUUUAGCCGACGACAUUAUUUCGUCGGCUAUAGUCAGACUUUAGCCGACGACAUUUUUGUCGUCGGUUAUCUGCCAAACUUUAGCCGACGAAUAUUUUAAAAUAUUCGUCGGCUAAAGUUUGUAAUAAAAAAAUAAAAAAGAUCUAUGGCCGACGAAAUAAAGUAUAUUUCGUCGGCUUUAUAGGUAUUUAGCCGACGAAUUAGAGCAUAUUUCGUCGGCUAAAAGUUAUUUUAAAAAAAAUAAAAAACUUUAGCCGACGAAUUAAAGCUUUUUUCGUCGGCUAUAAGUCCUUUCCAGUAAAAAAAAACCCCGAAAUUUCUGAAUUACCAUUCCAAGCAAGCUGCAAAAUAUACCAAAACAAUUCCAUAUUCCAUAUAACCAACAACAAGCACAUAAAAGUAUAUAAUUCAUCAACUACAUAAAAUCUAAAUCGUCUAAAUUAAUAUCCGCUUCUGGGGGUUACUGCGGAGGUUGCUGCGGAGGUUGCGGCGGAGGUUGCGGCGGCUGGGGUAGCGGCAUGGGCGGAGGCAUGGGCGGAGGCGGAAGUCCCUGAAGCUGGGCAGCUGUAAAGUCCUGCAUGUACUGGAACAUCUGCUGCUGCUGGGCCUGCUGGAUGGCAUGUAUCUCGGCAACAUAGGCUGCCUGCGCAGCAUUAUAGGCUGCCUGCGAGGCAUUAUAGGCUGCUUGCGAGGCAUUAUAGGCUUCCUGAGCAGCUUGCUGUUCUCGUAGUCUCUGAACUUCCGACUCUAGCUGAGUCGUCCUGGUGAUCGUGGACGUGGUCCUGCUGCUGGUCGAUGCUGCCUUUCUUUGAAAUCCUGGAGUGGUCUUCAGGACCCCCUCGNNNNN
rnacentral:lncRNA from 1 species